CGCUCUGUUCUGCCCUUUCACUGAAAAUAGCUCUUCCUGACACAGGCUUGGGUAGUGAAAGCAGCUUGGUCACAUCUGUCCCAUGGUGUAACUAAUCUUUAGGAUCUGCAGAGACCUGCCUUCCUCUGCAAUUGUAACUGUACCUCCAAUCGUGAGUUUCGUCUGGCAGCUUAACUGGGCUACCAGCGAGGUCCUCAUAAUGGCUUUUGCUCCUUGCCUCGCGGAGACCCGACUCUGGAAUCCUUAGCCAGUGGUUAGAUGCUGCAACUGCACUUCCUGGCUCCGUCCUCUUGAGCAAGUGAAUUCGCUUCUCUGAGCAUCAGAGAAGUAAUCGGUAAAACAGGGAUAAUAGUAAUUUACUCAUGGGCUUGUUGU
rnacentral:lncRNA from 1 species